CAGCUUUAGAUGCUAACAUUGAAGAUGCACAACCAUGAGGAUGUAGGAGACUGGAUCCCUGAAUCACUGCUUGGAUGAUAGCAGCAAGCUUCUUUGGCGUUAAACAACUUAGAUAUUCUGAUAAAGCAUCUACUGUUGCCUUAAUUAAGGAGAGAUGGAUAAUAUUUUCUUGGAUGAAAGUGAUAGAGGUGAGGAUGAAGAGAAGUGGUCAGAUUCUACAUACAAUUAUCAGAGAAACAGGAGUUCCUGAGAAUAUGGAUAUGAUGAGAAGUUUCCCCUCCUGCCACUGUUCCUGCAGAUUUCAGCUCCAUGGGAGCAGGAAUCUUGUUUCCUCACUGAACAUUAUGUUCUCAGCUCCUGGAAAAGUGCCUGUUACAGAGCAGAAGCUUUCAAAAGGCUUCAAGGCCAUCUUCAGGCAGGAUGUAAAGAGGCUUCACUUUAUCACCCAGGAGUGCAGUGGUAUGAUCACAGCUCACUGAAUUGUCGACCUCCUGGCCUCAAACUAUCCUUCCAUCUUGGCAUCCCAAGCAGCUGGGACUACAUGCAUGCACCAGCAUGCCUGGCUAAUUAAAAAAAAAAUUUCAGUAGGGACAGAAUCUUGCUAUGCUACCCAGGCUGGUCUCAAACUCCUGGGCUCAAGCAGUCCUCCUGCCUUGGCCUCCCAAAGUGCUGGGAUUACAGGUGUGAGCCACUGUGCCUGGCCUACUGCCUUUCAAUGUAAAGAAAAACUAAAAUAAAAUGAAAUAAAAAUCAGCCAUGGUAUAUAACCUGCAC
rnacentral:lncRNA from 10 species